rnacentral:tRNA from 1 species
GAGGACUUAGCUUAAUUAAAGUGGCUGAUUUGCGUUCAGUUGAUGUAAGACGUAAUCUUGCAGUCUUUA